GACGAACGCUGGCGGCGUGCUUAACACAUGCAAGUCGAACGGAAAGGCCCUUCGGGGUACUCGAGUGGCGAACGGGUGAGUAACACGUGGGUGAUCUGCCCUGCACUUUGGGAUAAGCCUGGGAAACUGGGUCUAAUACCGAAUAGGACCACGCGCUUCAUGGUGUGUGGUGGGAAGCUUUUGCGGUGUGGGAUGGGCCCGCGGCCUAUCAGCUUGUUGGUGGGGUAAUGGCCUACCAAGGCGACGACGGGUAGCCGGCCUGAGAGGGUGACCGGCCACACUGGGACUGAGAUACGGCCCAGACUCCUACGGGAGGCAGCAGUGGGGAAUAUUGCACAAUGGGCGCAAGCCUGAUGCAGCGACGCCGCGUGAGGGAUGACGGCCUUCGGGUUGUAAACCUCUUUCAAUAGGGACGAAGCGCAAGUGACGGUACCUAUAGAAGAAGCACCGGCCAACUACGUG
rnacentral:rRNA from 1 species